AUUACAGGGACUGAUGAACACACUCAGCUCCUUAUUCAGUGGAGAGUGGCUAAUGAAGCCCUCUUCACUGGAAAGCGUAAUGCUGCCAUCAAAGGUUUUGAAGCUUUUGUGACAGCAGGGACUUGAGGGCAAAAUUUCUGCGCUCAAGUCAAAAGUGGGAGAACCUAAAACAAAAAUAUAAAACCCGGGAUAUCCAACAAAGAUAUCGAGGAACUUCCCCUCGUGGUCGGUGAUGGCCUGCAGCUGAACAGAGU